CCUUUUUCACGGUCCAGAACAGUCCUUUGAAAGCUAGAUAUAAACAAUAAAAGAGGACAACGACGAAUAUUGCAACACCUUUGAGGAAUUUUGCAACAAAACAUUUGGCAGAUUCUGUGCAACAUCUCAGGACUGCUGAACGUAGAGGUGAAUAUGAGAGAAAAAAAAUGGGGACAGGAAGAAAUCCAACCACACUCCAAACAGCAUUUUUCCAAUUAUGUGUCAUCAUGAUCAGGAUGAUUGUUGCUCCAAACGCCACCGCCAUCAUUGAGACCGAGAGGAUCAUACAUAUAAUUCCCUGUGUCAGCUUCUUAAAAAGAUAUGUUUCGAAGUCUUGUAGUGGAAAUGAGGAUGUAAGGAUGGAGAGAAAUUUACCCACAGAUGUCAAAGCCAAAGUGAGGGAGAACACAUCAGCUAAUAUGAAAACCACAAAGAAGGGUUUAGAGUUAAGGAUUGGAAUACCGGUGUCUUGAUUAGGACCUCCUGGUACCGUGUAGGCUGCUGCAAAGGCAACAGUGGCUAUGAAAAUAGAAAGAAUGGUGCAAUUCUCAGUGGUGCGCAUUAGCCAUUCCUUGGCAUCUCGAUGGAGUCUCUCAUUCCUAGCAGCAAAUAAUUCUUCAGCAGUCUGGUUAUCUUUGUUGAGAGGCUUGGUCAAAUGCAUCUUACAGGCUGACUUCACUUUCUGCACCCACACAUACAAUCACAAGUAGCACCGUUAUUCUAAUGUAACACAUACAAGCUUUUUUGUUCUUUCUAAUCCCUCCAUUUAUCAUUAGACUAAAUUAAAAAUAUUAGGGAAAAAAAAAACCUUCAAAGUAAUUAUUCAUGAACUUUUAGGUUGUGUUUGAUUCUUAGACGAUUCUUAAAUAAUUUGAGGGAAGUGGAGAAAAAUAAAGGGAAAAAGUAGAAGAAAAUAAAAAAUGAAAGAAAAAAAAAAGAUUUAAACUCAAAAAUCAUUUUUAUAUAUUACUUUAAACUCAUUUUACUUAUUUUAACUCUUAUCUAAGGAUUAAAUAAUUUCAAAAUAUUCAAGUAUUUUUUUAUUAAUUUUAAUUAUAUUUUAUUUUUACAUUUUAUAUUUUAUAUAUUAAAACAAAAAUGAGAAAAUUAUUUUUUAAUACUUUUUUCUUUCUUUAGUAUUUUUCUAAUAACUUAAACUUUAUGAUCAAUUAGUGGAUUUUAACAUGGUAAGAGUAGCUUGGUCUUGAGUUUGAAUCUCAUUGGUGUAUUGUUUAUUCUCUCUAUGCAUUAAUUUAACCUUGUGUAAGCCUAAAAAAACCUAUAGUGAUAACUUAAAGGAUCAUUUUACAACAUUGAAAAGCUAAUUUUCAUAUCAUACACAAAAGUGAUGGUCAAAUAAAAAUUGAUAGGUGGUAAAAAUGAUCUUAUUUAUAUUUAUAUUUGUUAAAAAGGUUCUAUUUAUCUCUAUUUGUGAAACUAAUCUUGGUUUUGAUAAUAAUAAAACAAAAAUUAAAACUAAUAAUUUAUCCUAAGUAUGUUUAGGCAAAAAGAUUUUCAAAAAAGCAAUAAAAGAUGAAUUAAAUCAAAUAAAAAUUAAGAAGAAGGAAAAUACCUCAUAGAAAAGAAAAGUCAAGACCUAUUCCCUAGGAUCUCUUUGUAAAACUAUUGGUGUACUAGGUUCAUAGCACAUUACAUUUUUAUUGAAUACAUAAAAUCAUCCAAAUGUCUAAAUAGAUUUUAUUUUCUUGAAUCUAAUCCUUCCUAAUUAAGCUUUUUUUAAAGGUUUAUGAAGUUGAAUAAAAGUUUCCAGGAAUUCCAGGCCUCAAACUAGCUAGGGUCUUUUAUACACUUUACAAUAUAAUUGGUUGAAGUAGAAAGGAAUCGAUUAAGCCAGUUAUGCUCAAUUUAGUAACCCUAAUAACUAGUAGCCCAUUGAUUAGUCGAACCUAGACUAUGUUUAACAACUAGUUUGAGUUUCUAAAUCCUAUUUAAACCAUUCUUAAAUAUUAUUUAAGCCUUUUUAAAGUGUUUUCAAAGUGACUUGCUUUCAAACUUGUAUUUCAUCUUAGUACUAUAGGAAAACCCAUAUUUCUUUGUUCCCUAUACCUAGAUCAAUUUAAGUACAUGCAAAUCUUUCUUAGGCUUUAUCUAAAUCCUAUAUUUAGAGAAAACAAACAAUUUUAAACAAUAAUAAGAUUUAGAUAUCAAAAAAGAAAAAUUUAACUUAAUUUGAAUAUUUUCAAAUCAAAUCCAUGCAGUGAAGUAUUUGAAGAAGUUGUUGGAAGUCUCAUAGACCCACGGUCUUCCGCUCGAUGGCUCUUCCUUAAACCUUGGCACUCAACAGAUGGGAAGAAAAGAAGGGUAGAGGCUAUGACUCUUUCUCUGAAAAUGGAAGACAAGUCUUUAGAAACCCUCCCUAAAUGGGCAUUUAUAAGGUUCUCCAUAAGCUUAAGUGACUUGAGCCCAUUAGGGGCUUGGGUCACUCAAUCUAGACUAAAAAAGUUCUUAAUUGAUUAAUUAACCCAAUACAGCUAUCCAAUUAAUUAAUUAACUCAAUUUAGAGACCUUGUUCACUAACUCAUGUGCAAUCUUAGGUAAUUAUCAAAAUAUUUGUAUGCAUAAAAGUGAACCUAGAGCCAACCCAACUCUCAUAGAUAAUGUCAUCAAGGUAUAUGAGCUUGAGCGGGAACCAUUGGAACCAUUAGAGAAUUAAUUCCAUAAUAAUUCACUUUUGAAGUUGAUUCAACAUCCCACGAUAGAGAAUCAACUACACUUCAGUAUCCUAUGCAAAUAACAAUGAGACAAAGCUUGGAUUUGUGACCUACUGUCCAUUGCAUGUAGAGUACUCCCAAGAACUGGUGUCUAUAAUCUAAUAAGUUAAUGUUAUAUCACCUAUCAAGAUUACCCUUCCAAUCCUUGAAUUACAUAUCUCACUUACUAUAUGAUUAAUUGACAUACUCUACCUUCAAAAAGCAUAUGUCAAGUUUCCAUUAAUGGAAAUGCUAUGACCAAAGUCUUCUAGAUCACAUGCCCUUUAAAUCAACUAAAGGACACACUAUCUCAAACCCAUAAGAUAUUAUGGCUCCUCUAUUGAGAAUACCUAUUACCACCACUAGCCUCCAUCAACAAUGACUCCAUCCAUAAGAAUAUGUGACCACCUUAGGGUCUUACCCAUGGGUCAAAGACUCAAUACCUUCUCAAGGUUGAGAGUCUAUGCAAUAUAGUAGCUUGGUGAAUCAUGAUAAUUAAUUAAUAGUCUUACAUCAUGAUUCACCAUUAGUCUUAUCUAGUGUGCAUUGCAUACACUAGUACACUCACUAUGGGAAAACCAUCUUGAUAACCAAGACAAGUCAUUCCUCCAAUUAAGAGAUAGUGCACUACAAACUCACAUGGAUUUCCCAAAUCCAUGAACUGAUUGUGGACUACUUAUCACUCUACAAGGAACCCAUGACAUGGAUCUUUUGUGCAACUCCUAAUACACCCAAGUCAUAUACAAUGCAAGUGAUGUGAGCAUGUAUGCUCAAAUAACCAAUUGAUGCAUAUGGGAAACCAAAAAACAUAGAUAAAUAAAUUUAUAAAUGAAUCUCAAUUGGUUACUUUAUGUCAUGCUUUAUAGGACUCAAUCCUAACAAGUACACCAUUCAAUUCUAGUUUUUGUAUAUUCCAUUGUACCAAAAUUGUAAACUAGAAGUUUUAUUCUUAUCAAAUUUUUUCUUAUACAUCUUGUGAGUAGGCUUAAUUGUAUAAGGAAUCAAUUUAGUGAAAAAUUUAAGUGUGAGGUAUCACAUAGGGUUGUCCAAGUGUGGAAUGUCACUUAGGGAUCUUUAAGAGUGAGACAUCUCUUAAACAAUGAGGUAUUGCUUAAGAGAAAUUAUAAGUGCCUAUUAGAGACAUCUAUUAAAGAGUGAGGUAUCACUUAAGAAAAAUUAUUAGUGCCCAUUUGAGCUAGUAAAUCCAAGAGUAAAGUAUAAAGGCUUGGUUUGGAAUCAUAAAUAUAGUGGAACCUUAAGCUUGGAUUGAAACUUGAGGAGAAUGGAUAUAGGUUAAGUUGCUUCAAAUCACUAUAAAAUCUUAAGUUCACAUUUCUUUCUUCCCUUACUCUCUUUACUUUAUGUGCAAUUGCUACAAUUGUCACUUGCUUUGUAAGUUUAAAUUUAUAAAAAGUGAUCAUCACCUUAUUCAACCUCCUCUCCCCUCCCUCUCUCUUCUAGGGUGAUUACCUUAGGUUGGUAUAACUAGAAUCAUAACAAUUGAUAUCGAAGUAAGGCCUUUUGCUUAAGACUUAAUAAUCUGUAAGGAAUAACAAAUCAACCUAAUUCUCUACUCAUGGGAGGUUUUUUCAGUUUCAAAAUAGAUGUCAUAUUCCAACUAAAAUUGAAAACAAAAAUAGAUAUCAUAUUUUUUUUCAGAUAUGAUUAUAGGUAUUCAAAAACAAAAAUGACUUGGUUUUUAAAGUCUAUUGAUUUUUAUUUAUGGAAAGUCAUUCAAAAUAGAUAUAAUAUUCCAACUAAAAUUGAAAAUGAGGUAUCCAUUCCAAAGUCAAUCCAUGAGUGAAAUGAGUAAGAAAAGAAAAAUGCCCAAUUAAAUGCUAAAACUAUAUGUCAUAUGCUAGAAUAGAAUCCUUAUAAUCAUGGCAUGAUGUAAUUAGAUUCGGAAUUAAAUUCCUAAAUGAAUUUUUACAUUUCUAAAGAAUCAAAAACUCUUCUAAAGGAAUGGAUAUAGUGUCAAUCAUCAUGAAAAGGAUUAUCAAAUUGGCAUAAGAAGUUUAGAAAUGCUUCAAAUUGUUUUUUCUAUCUUAUCCUAUUGGUUUGAAUUUUUUUCAUAAAGAACAAUUGAAAAUGUAUUGAAUUCUGAUCAUACAAAGAAAAAUCAUUUUAAUGAAAUUGACAUAACAGCUAUCCCAAGGUUUGGAUUAAGAAGAAGUCAUCAUUUAUGAAAACCUUAGGUGAAAUAAAAUGAUCACAUGCUUGCAUGUUUUAAUGAUGUUAAAUUAUGCAUGUUAUGUGUUGCAUCUUUUAAAUUGCAUAUGUUGGGAAAUAACGAUAUGCUUUAAAUGAAAAAUAUUUCAUUCCCUUACCAUUUUUAGAAAAUCAUGCUUUAAAUUGGAAAAUGCUCUAAGAUUGAGAAAAUUUUUAUUUGAAAUAUAUUUUCAAAUGAAAAACAAAAAGAAGAGGAAAAAUGAUGUUAUUCUUAUUAUUUAUUUUUUGUGACAUCAUUUAUGAUUGAUAAAUAAAUUCUCUUAUUAUACUUAAUUGAGACUUUUUGUUGAUGACAAAAAGGAGGAAAAUUAGUAAUAAGUUAUUGUAGUACUAGGAUGAUAAUAUUUGUUUUAGCAAUCUUGAAUACUAAUGCUUCAUACUUCAAUUAUUAUAUACAUGCAUGCAUCCUAUUUGUUAUCUUACCAAUUGCUAAUUGCUCUUUGUGUUGUUAAUAUUUUGGUUAUAUUAUUUUUUAGCACCAAUAUAAUCCUUAAGAUUCUUAAAAUUGAACAUUUUCUAAAAAUCAAGGAGCAUAUAUUAAGGGGAAGUAUUUGAGCAACUUGAUUUUGUCAUCUCAAAAAGGAGGAGAUUGUGAAACUAAAGUUUGGUUAAUUUUUGUUUUGAUGAUAAUAAAACAAAGUUUGACACUAAUGAUUUAUUCUAAGUAUAUUUAGACAAAAAGAUACCUAAAGAAGCAAUAAAAGAAAUAUCAAGUCAAAGGAAAAUCAAGAAGAAGGAGAAAACUUCAAAGAGAAGGGGAAUAAAGACCUAUUAUCUAGGAUCUUUUUGUAAAGUUGUUAGUGCACUAGGUUCAUAUUACAUUACUUUUUUUAAUUGAAGCACAUAAAUUCAUCUAAGUAUCUAAAUCGAUUUUAUUCUCUUAUAAACUAAAUGAUUUCAUGUUCUUGAUUAAAACUAUGAAUCUAAUUCUUUCUAAACUUGUUUUAAAAGAUUUAUGAAGUUGAAUAUAAGUUGUUAGAGGUUCCAAGCCUCAAACUAGGUCUUUUAUGCACUUUACAAUGCAAUCGGUUGAGGCAAGGAAGAACAUGUUCAAUUGAGGUGCACUUGCACUUUGUUUCUUUUAGUAGCAUGUGUUCAACCAUUGACGUUAAGCCUCAACUAGUUGAGUCGAUUGGCCAACAAUAAACGCAAUGGCUAGUAGUUUGUUGAUCGGUUCAUCAACUUGUUAAACCUAAACUAUGCUUAAGAAGCAUGACUAGUUUAGGUUUCUAGCUCUUAUUUAAAGGCUCCAAGAUUCUUGUAUUAAUGGGAAAGAGUUCUAAAUGAUUCUUAAAUAUUAUUUAAGCUUGAAGGAGUGUUUUUAAAGUGUACUUAAAGAGUUCAUCUUAGUGCACCGUUCAACCUUAUUUUUCUUAUAUUCCAUUAUGCAAAAAUUGCAAACUAGAAGUUUUAUUCUUAUCGAAUAUUAUUUUAUAUACCUAGUGAGUUGGGCUCAAUUGUAGGGUAUCACUUGAGGGAAAAAUUUAAGUGUGAUGUAUCACAUAAGUUUUGCCAAGUGUGAGGUAUCUCUUGGAGAUCUUCAAGAGUAAGGCAUUUCUCAAGGAAAAAUAUAAGUGCCCACUGAAGCCAAUUAAUCCAAGUGUAAACCUUGAAGGCUUGAUUUGGAAGCUUUGGGAUAGUGGAGUCUCAAGCAUGGGAUUGAAUCUUAAAGAGAGUGGAUAUAUGCUAGGUUGCUUGAACCACUAUAAAAUCUUAAGUUUACAUUUCUCUUUUCCUUUACUUUCUUUACUUUAUAUGCAAUUGCAUUUCAUUAUACUUGUUAUAUUAUUACAUACAAUUGUCACUUGCUCUUUAUAUUUAAAUUUGUUAAAAGCAACCAUCACCCUAUUCACCCUCCCCUAAGCAAUUAUCUUAGGUUGGUAUAGUUAAAACCCUAACACUAUUUAAUUAAGACUUAUUUACUGCAUUUAGGUUUUAUUUCUUAGUACCUUGGUUCUAUUUGGAAUCUAAUGAUCUAAAUUUUAUUAAAUACAUUAAUGACUCAAAUUUGAAAUUUAGUACCUAAUAAGUACCUUAUCAUUUUCCUAACUUGGAUACAUAUUUUUCAUCCAUUACUUAAUAACUUAUUAUUAUUAGUAAUGAAGAUUAAUAAUCAAAUGACUUGCCACAAGUGUAUGCAUGAGCACAAUGUUUAUGGUUAUCAUUAAUGGGUAAGUAGAAGUGCACCUUAAACAACAGCAACUCUUUUUGUAGUUGGGAUGCAGGGCUUUGCAUCUUUUCACUAGCUUGACUUUUUCUUUUUAGGCCAACCAUAUGUAGUAAGGAGUUCCCUUUUUUAUCUAUAGCUGAUAAUAGACUUCUUGCAAGCAAUUCAGAUUUUGAUACUAUAUCAAAAAUUUCAAUAUGACGGUAAAGGAUUGCCACAUGUAGUAUGUUCAUUCCCUCCUUAUUAGUAUGCUCAAGUGCUUGAGGAUGACAAACCAGUAUUUCUUCAACAAUGUCUUGAAUGUUUGAUAUUGUUGCCAAAAAUAAUGGAGCUUCAUCGCUCUUCUUGUACUUGUAGUUGGUUGAACUUUCUUGGUAGUUUUGCCCUUCAUUUUCUUGGAAAUUUUGGCCUUUCUUUUCUUGGGAUAUUUUUUCUUCCUUUUCUAUAUCCAACUCCUUAGUCUCACCUAAGCCAACUUCUUGAGAAUUAACACUAGGAUGCCAUGAUGUAUCAUUCUUUACCAAAAGCUUGACGAGUCCUUGAAGUGAAUAGCAUCUGCUUUUAGUAAUAUGAGACAUGUUAGAUUACUUUUACAUAAUAUAUUGAAAUACAAAAAUGUAUCACAAGUAAAUAAUCUAGUAUUAUAUGAUGUUUAGGUAUGGAAUAUUAUUAUAUUGAAAAGGGUAAUUGAAAUCUAAUAGUACAUAUUAAUCCAACCACAAUAGCUUUCAAUAAUACAUUUGUAAUUUAAUCGAUUAUAAAGGGUGAGGAAUAUUUUACAAUUUCUUUUACAAGUAGUGCAUAGAUGGAUCUAUAAAGAAGAUUUUGUUUUCCUUUUCUCUUUUUUUAAUAUUUUCUAAAGGCCUUUUAAAGUUAUAAAAAAUUGGGUAAUUGCCAAAAAUGAGAAAUAGUCACAUGGAAAAAUAGUUUCAUUUCUUUUCUACAUUGCAUUUGUAUUGAAAUAUCAUUUUUUUCAUAUUUAAUGUAUUCAACAUUGCCUUGGUAUGAUAUCUAUUUGUUUAUACCUUAGAGUUGUUCUUUAAAAGUGUGAUCUUUGUAUGAAAAUAUUUAUUUUUUAAAUUUUCCUUCUUUCACUUUGAGUAAAAUAAAAAUGGGUUCUAGAAUAUGUGCAUGUGAAGGAUUCCCCUUUUGAUCACUCCUAAUCAUAUAAUUAUUUAUCUACCAAAAAUUUCACAUAGCGUGGCUGAAAGUUAUAUACCUAAAUUAUUUAAUAAUCUCCUAUACAACUUAUGUAACCUAUCAUAACUUAAUUUAUAGAACCAAAUGUUUUUGAACAAAAAAUUAUAUAUAUAUAUAACUUAUAAAAUUUUCAAUUACCAUUUUCAAUAAUCACUUAAUAAAUUUGAGUUUAAAUAUAGAUUUAUGAGGGAUUUUUUGUCAUCCAUUAGAAAUUGGCAUCAUAUGGUUUAGAAAACAUCAUUACUUUGUACUUGAUUAUUAUGAUUUACAUAUUUAACUCUCAUUCCUUUCUAUAACUAAGUUAUGUUUCUUCAUUUCUUUAUUCAAUGGUCUAGAUUUACCCAUACACAUUAAUGACUCAAAUUCAAAAUUCAAUAAAAUAAUAAAUCGGUAUCCUAAAUUUUUUUUCUAUGAAAUCUAAAAGAAAAAUUGAAGCCUUUUUGAGCCUAACAAUAGGCUUGGGUUGAGUAUUGAGUCUUUUGAGCAUUUCAGAUGUUGGUCAAUCAAGAAUUGUUGUAUGUUCAAGAAAGAAUUCAUGUAGUUUGAGAAGCAAUUUGCAAAACCUAUUAAUAACAUUUGUCUAGUUACAAAUUGUAGUGAAAAGCUACCCAUGUGUGUUUCUUUAAUUUGUUUUCCUUUAAGGAAUUAUGUAUGAUAAAAUUUAUCAAGUAUUUAGUUUGAAUAUAUUUAAGGAUAUAAAAGAAAUAAUGAUAUAUGUAUAAUUUUUUAAUUUAAAUUUUUUUAUAAUUUAUUUAUAAAUUUUAGUUUUUUGACAUUUAAUUAUUACACAAAAAAAUAUAAACAUAUUCAUUAAGAAGAUUAUUAUGAUAGUUUUUAUAUUUUGGAUGAUAAGGCAAUGAAAUUUACAAAUAAAAUUUGUUAGCCCAAGGGUUCUUCUAAUCCCAUUUUAAUGAUAACAAACCAUGGUUAAGUAGCUAAUUGGUUUAAAUUAUAAAGAAUUUCAGGUGUUAGUUUGGAAAUUCAUCAAAUGACUCAAUGGAUUCAAGAUCAAGACAUUUGGAAGACCUUUAAUCAUAAAAAACAUAUGUAAGACGAAUGCAUGGGUGCACUUAGGAUUUUUUAUGAAUUCCCCAAUUUUUUAUGGCAAAUGCCAAGGGAAUUUUGAUUUUUGGUAAAACAAAUUGACCAUUUUCUAAGUAUAUAUUUAUAUGAUGUUCUAUAUGAUGCAUAUGAUUGCAUGCUGUGAGAGCAUCACUCAAGUACUUCCCUAUGGUCGCUUCCUUUCCCAAGUAUUCAAGGAUGUUGGCAUUAACCUUAGUAGAGAGACGAACUUUGAGGAUCCCAGUACAUAUGAUACAUAUGAUGAUCAAUCCAUGGGGCGAAUGAAAUUUGAGAAGACUCCAGAUGGUUUUUGGAUCAGAAAAGCAAAGAGAGCAUUGCCAUGGGGACAACAAUAAACACACCUUAGAGUUGAGAAGGAGGCAAGGAUUAAGCAGAUGAAGAGUGGAGUAGAACCUCAAGGUAGACUAGACCCUCAGAGUGGCUACUAGCAGAGAGGGCUCGAGCUUGAUAUUCCCUUACUUCAAGCAAAGAUUCCUUCAUAGAUCAGGGGUGUUUAGUUUGAGUCCACUUUCUCUAAGUCGAUGAUGACUUAGCCAGCUUUUAUAGACGAACCAUCUACUCAACCAUUAUACACCGAGCCCACCUAUACUAAGAUACCACAGCCUCAGGUACCUUCUACUCCUAACCAUGCUCCUUGAAUGGAUUUAUUUGCUCGAAUUAGCUUUCUUGGUACUUGUAUGGUGGAGCUUGUAGUGGUCAGUGACACAUGAUUUAUUCUAUGGAGGAUAUGAUGGACAAGAAUCAGACUGUGUUCACUUCGCAGUUUGAGUAUCUCCAGUAGAGGAUUAAUUGCAUUAAGGAUUGCAUGGUGCGUUAGCAUGAGGACAUUAUGGCCUACUUGCGUUCCGUGUUUCUACCUCCACCUCCUCAACCUUGAUUCAUUUAACAACUCCCUUAUUCCUUUUUUAUGUUGCCAAAGGGGAAGAUAUUUUAGGAUCUAGGAGGCUAGAUAUAAGAGACUCAUACAUGCAUAUCAUCUUUGUUAGAUCAUACAUUGCUUAUCUUUAGUUAUGUUAAUUUGAUUGGACAUAUGAUGUACAGACUAAUACAUUUGACUUAUGAUGUAUGAUAUGCCUAUAUAUUUGAUGACUUGUAUUGUUUGUUGUUGCAAUACUCUCUAACAUGUCUUGAUCUUUGUUUUCAAUUCUUAAAUUUUGAUUGUUAAUUCAUGAUUAGUUUAAGGGGAAGAUUUUUUUCCUCCUAGAUAACCAAGGUUUUUCAUCAUAAAAAAGGGGGAGAUUGUUACCCUAAGGGUUCUCCUAAUCAUGUUUUAAUGAUAGUAAAUCAUGGUUAAGUGGCUAAUUGAUUUGAUUUAUAAAGAAUUUCAGGUAUUAGUUUGGAAAUUCAUCAAAGAAAUCAAUAGAGGCAAGAUCAAGACAUUUGGAAGACCUUUAAUCAUAAGAAACAUAUGUAAGAUGAAUGCAUAGGUGCACUUGGGAUUUUCAUAUCUUUUCAUACAUUUUUAAAAACUGAGUUUAUGCAUUAAAGUUACAUUUCCAUCAAAAACCCAAGUUUUAUCAAAUGAACCUUAGGCAAAUCAUUUAAAAAUUGGCAUAUUAAUUUACUUAAAGACCUUGCCAAGUGUUAGAAGAGAAAAAAAAAAAAAAAAGAUAGGUUUUGGGCCAAAAAAGAUGAACCGAUUGAGGUAGUGGCCAAUGGGCUCAAUCAACUAGGGUACCGAUCAACCAGUUACACUUUCCUAGUCGAUUUCCAAUCGAGAGAUGCAAAAAAUCUUCUCUCUCUUCCAAUAGCCUUUCUUUCUCGGUCGAGGGAUAUCUCUUCCCAAUCGAGGUCCACUCAAGGCCUAAUGGCCACCUACCAUGCAUUUAAUGCCCAACAGCUAGUGAACCAAUCGACCCCCAACUCGACCAAUCAAGACUACUUUUUGGCAUUUUGGCUCGUGACGCUAGAAACCUAUAAACUGAGAGUUCCACUUCAUUUAUGAGUAAGAGAACACCUGAAUUUAUUUGUUUACCUACUUGUUCUUAUCGCAAAAGCUCUCAUUCUUUCUUUGGUGCAUUAAACCUUCAUUUGCAUAUUCCUUAGUGCACCCUUGUGAUUCUUCUUAGCUUUUAAGUUGUAUUUGAGCCCUUGUUGAGUUAGGAUGAGAGAUUUAAGCUUAUUAUUUGAGUGUUAAAAGCUUCAAGUGAGUAGAGAUUUGAAGAGAUUGUAUAAGAACCCAUUGAAGCCAGAAUCCAAGUGUAAAGGUGAUUAGAAGCUUGGUUGAAGCUUCAAGUAUAGUGGAACCCUUACUCGGUUAAGAGCUUGAGGAGAGUAGACCUAGGCAAGGAAGUGUUGAACCACUAUAAAAUCCGAGUUUGCUUUAUCUAACCUUAUCUAUAUAUAUUUGUGCUUCUUGUGUUUAAAUUUAUUGUGUUUGAAAAAGAAUUUUAAUAUUUCAGGUUUUAUUUAAUUCAAAUUAAUUAAUUUAAUCAGGUUUUAUUUUAAUAUUUCUUUUUUUUUUUUUUUUGCAUGGGAUGUCAAAAUAUCAUAAAUAUCAACAGUUAGUCUUUCUCUUGGUGGACCAAUAUUCUAUCAAUAUAUUUGACAAUCUUGUCCAAUUUUUGGCAAGCAAAGAUUUCAACCUUUUUUUUUUUUUGUAUUAAGGCUAGUAUGAUAUAUCGAAAUUUUGAUUAUAUUUCUAGAAAUUUUAAUCUUUGUAAAUAACUACUAUGUUUUAAUUUUAAAAAUAAAAAAUAAGAAGUAUAUCCAAUUGAUACCUUAGUGCUCAUUUAGAUAUGCUUCUUGGUUUUUAUUUUGAAGGGUAGAAAAUAAUAAUAACUUCUAUAAAAUAUAUAAAAUACAAUAACUUUUAUAUAAAAAGUACAAACUUAACUUAUGUUCUUAAAAAUAUAAACUUAAAUUAUAUUUUUAAAAAUUACUUUUAAAUUUUCUAAAAUUUGAAGUAAUAUUUUUUUUAAUAUCUCAUAUUUUUUAAAAAAUUUAAAAAUCAUUUUUUUUUAAUUAAGUUUCAAAGAGUUCUUAUAUUUUAUAGAGAUAUUAUGAUUACUUUCUAUUUUAGAAAAGAGAAACAAAAAGUUUAUCCAAAUUACACCUUAUUUUCUAUUGGAGACACUUAUUAUUUUUUAUUUUUAAAUGUAGAAAAUAGUAAUAGUUUCUAUAUAUAUAAUAUAGGAUUUCUUAGAGGUUUAUAUUGAAAAUGUUAUGGAUUUAAAAAUUGAUUGAAAAUUGAGAUAAUAAAAAAAUUUACUAUCUUAAAUUAUAAAAUUUAUUAAAGUAAUUUUUAAAGACAUAAGAUAUGUUUACCUUUUGUUUUAAAGUUUUUACUUUUUAUUUAGAUGUCUCAUAUUAUAUAUAUAGGAAAUGGAAACAGUGGGUGGUUUGAAGGCCACUAAAUAAUAAAUGUGAUAUCCUACAUUGGAUAAGGGAAAAUUUUUUUAGUGUUAUAUAUAUAUAUAUAUAGACUUCUUUUAACCUUGUAGACACAUUUUAAAGUCGCGAAAGCCCCUUUAGGUCUAUAGUGGUUAAUAUCUACACGAUUGAAAGCGAGUCAUUACAAAUGUAUCAAAGUUGAUCCUCGACUCCUAUAUGGGGGUUUCUUUUGGCUUCAUGAGAAGUGUUUCUCUAUUUGACCCUACAAUCUCGUGAGACACAACGAGUAUAUUGUAUUUAUAUGACGGAGGAGGGACUGGGGUAUUUAUGUCUCACAUGGGAUAGGGGAAUAUAUAUAUAUAUAUGAGUUCCUCUUAAUCUCGUAGACAUUUUAAAGUUAUAAGAGUCCCUUUAAGCCCAAAGUAAAUAAUAUCUACACAAUUGGGAUGAGACCGUUACAAUAGAUAUAAUUUUUAAAACUGAGAUUAGAAUCAAGAAAGGAGGUUUUCUUGGUCAGACCAUGGGUGGGGCAUUUUUACAAAAGAUUGAUCAUAUUCUUCCUCCUCUUGGCUAGAUGCAUUAAAUUGAAACAAAAUCUUAUUUACUUAGGAAGUAUGUCCAAAUGAAGCACUAAAAUUUAAAUUUCUAAUUAUAUUUUAAAUUUCUUAUGCAAGAGCUUUUAAGAACACUAACCUUCAAAAUAAAUAAGUAUGGUGCUUACCAAAACUUUUCAAAACUCACCUCUCAUCACUUGUCUUGCUGUUAUCCUUGGGGGGCCACUCUGGAAAAGAACUUCAAUUGUAAGAUGUUUAGACCACUAUUUGUUAGGAAAAAAAAAAAACAAAUGUAACAGAAAAGGAAAGAAGCACUACUUAACAAUUAUAAGAAGUUGAGGUAAAUAAUUAGUGGUGAAUGGAUAUAAAAAGGAACCAAAUUUUCUUAAACAAAUCCAUCAAACCAAAUCCUUAUUUUAUUGGAUAGGAAAAUUUGAGGAAAAAAAAAAUACAUCCAUUAGAGCCCCAUUUCGUAAUAUGGAAGAAAUUAUAGACAUCGAAUUUUACUUGCUCAAGUUCCAUUCUACACCAUGCAUGGGUUCUAUUCUAUUUAUUGAGCGAAUAAAUAUUAAAUCCAUUAAAAUAUUUUCAAUUGAGUUGGAUUAACUUGAAAGCUUGGAUGUUAACCACACAUUGUUUUAUAAGAUAGCUAACUAAUUUGUUUCCAAACUAUAUUUUUCAAAGAGAGAGAAAGAGAGAGAAAGAGAGAAAAUGUAUAAAACUAUAUUUAGCAUUCCUAAAUUAUGUUAAUGCCCAUACCCAAUUUCUAAAAAAUGUUAUUAUCUAAAUAAAUAAAUAAAUAAAAAACAAGAAUAAUUGAGUAAAUGAAGAAUAGAUAUUGAUGAGGAAGGAGUUAAAUGUACUAUACUGGAUUUAAUGAGUAUCUCCAUGAGUCCUUGUGUUGGUACUGUUGAGAUCAUGAGUUCCUCCAUGAAUCCUCGUCUUGUUUUUAUUUUCUUCUUUUCAAAUGCAGUUGGAUUGCAUGCAAGAUAUUGAAGAGCAGUCAUUGAAUCUGGAUCUCUUUCUUCAAUUAAAUAUGAGUAGCUCUCCGCAAUAAAAUGGGCCAAUUCUAUUUCAUGUUAAUUUUGUAGAGAUAACACAAAAAACAAAAAUGUUAGAUUAGUAACCUAAUGUUGUCUUUGCAUCCCAAAAAAUAUUUGAAAAAGAAAAUAUACAUAAAUUAUCUUAUUUGAUUAAUUAUUUAAAAUUUAUAAAUUUUUAUAAACAAAGAAAAACAAAGAAAAAUAAAUUUGAAGAUGAUAUUUAAGUAAAGCUUAUUGAUUUUAAACUUAUUAUUAACUUUUUAAUUUGUUUUUUGGAUUUUUCUUUAUUUUCUUUCCUUGAUACUUUCUUCAUUUCUAAGAUCCACAUGGCAUGCACCUAGACUAAAGGGCAUAUGCAAAUUAUGUAAAACACGUAACUUAAUAUUUUUUUUUUUUACUAGUAACAUUUAUGUUUUGAACUUUGAAAAGAAGACAUGACAUGAUAUGUCCCCUUAAAGUAUAAACUCCCUUUGUACUAACCCAUCACAUGCCUUUCAAGCUUAACCAAUUAAAUAUGAAGUUUUUAAAUUAUUUUAAGUGGGUUAUGAAUUUUCUUAACCAACAUAGUUUUGGGUACCAUUUUUAGGCCUAAAAAAGAGGUUUUGAAUAAUAAAAACUCUUUUGCUGUAUAUUUGAUUACAUUUAAGAAGUUGUUUGGAGAAAAAUAUUUAAGACUUAAAAGUAGCAAAAGUUACAAUAUAGUAACUGUUGGCCAAAAAGGGCUUUGGGAAGCUAAUAUUUCUUUAAAAGUUUAUUUAAAAAAUUAUAUCAAUAUUUAUAACUUCAUUUAAAUUUGGUAACCAAGCAUGCGUCCGGCUACAUUUUUAGUAUUUUUUAAGAGUAAAAUAUAGUCAUAAAUUCUAUAUAAAAACUAGAACCUUAUAUCUUUAAAAUUUUUGCAAUUUGAGGUAGAUAAAUUAAAUAUUUUGAUACCUUAAUUUGUAAAACCAUUUUUUUUUCUUUUUUUUCUUUUUUUAUCAAUCAUUCAUUGCUUUUCAAUGUAAGUAUCUAAAAAAUUCUGGUAUUUUAUAUGUUAUUAUUUUGUAAUUUUAAAAAUAGAAAUGAAAUGAAAAUAAUAAAUCUAUUUUCAAGAAAUUAAAUAUAUUUCUUAAGAAGUCCCUUUAAGGAGGAGUUAAGCUACUUCAAACAAGGCUUUAAUUAGAACAUGUACUAAUCUUUUAAAUUUUCAGCACUUAGGUUUAUUAGAAAACGCUAUCUAAAGCUUUGUUUGGAUUGUAAAAUAUAGUAGAAAAAAUAAAAAUAGAAAUGAAAAGUUAAUUUACCUAGAAAAUAAUGAAAAAAAAUAGAAUAAAAAAUAAUUAGAAAAAAAGAAAAGAAAAUAAUGAGUUUUUAUGCACUCGUGUAAAAAUAAUUAUAAAAUAAAAAUCUUCUAAAAAUAAUUCAAAUUUUAUGCAUUCAAGGGUCAAAAAUAGUACUUAAGAUAAUGAAAGGUAAUACCUAUAUUAUUAAAAUGUAUAAAUAUUAAUUAUUUUUAUAUAGCUAUUUGAAAUUUAUAUUUUAUAAACUUGAGUUUUUAUUUAUGGUUUUUUAUUUAUUUAAAUGUAUGAAAAUACACUUUUCCAAAAAAAUAAAAUAGAAUGAAAAAUAUUUAAAGUUUAUAUAUACAUGAGAGAAAGAAGAAAAAGAAAUUGCGAGAAUGAUAUAAGAAAGAUCUAUUAUGUUGAGCUUUUUAUAUAUAUAUAAAUAUUUAUUCAAAAUUUUCUAUUUUGGACUUUUUCUUAUUUUUAUUUUUCCAUUUCUCAAACAUAUUUUCCAUCAUCCUCCUAUUUUCACAUCUUGCAAGAACAUGAAACAUCCUCACCUAACGUACCUAGAUUGGUUGGGGUUUAGCCUUCCUUAACCUACACUUGGGAUAGCCUAUAAUUUCUAUAUUUAAUAAUAGAAAUGGAUAUUAUAGGAAAAAACUUGCAGAUGAAUUGAGAGAAGAACUCACCAAAACACUCGGUCAAGAUGGAAAUAUGAAGAACUGUUGUUCUAUCAUCCCUCUGCAAAUAGUGUUUACCCUCUUCUGGAUUUAGUUCCGUUAGUCCCAUUUUCCCAGCCAGAAACUUAAACAUUUCAGUUUGGCCGUAGCGGGCUGCACAAAAAAUAGGCGUCUCUCCUAAGUCGUUAGGCGCAAUUAGCAACUCUGAAUCUCUCUUCAACAUCUCCUCCGCCACAUCUUUCAUAGUAUCACUGGCCGCUACUUCGUGGAGUAUAUUGCUGCCGGCGUUGUUUUUUGUAGCGGCAAGUUCAUGGUUGCGUUCUUUAGGCAACAUUUCCAGUAAGUCGCGCACCAGUUUACUUCGUUUGAAGCGAGAGGCCAUGUGGAGGACUGUGUCAUUGUAAACACUAAUUCUCUGUAGCGGGCCUUCACGAUGAGAACUGCAGAGUUGGGUCACCUUCUUGUCGUCUUUGCUGAUCAAGUGAAUGAACAAUUGAUCUUGGAGUUCCUGUUGGUCGGUAGAGUUGGUGUCGGCCAUGAGAGCGUCUUUGGAGAGGGAUGGGGUUCUUACAGCGUUCCAGAGUCACUGCAAAAUCCCAAUUCAUAAGGUUAUAAGCAAUCUUAUAAAACUUGGAUGGGAGUGGCCAAACAAACCGUUGACCGGUCUUCUAUCGGAUUCCAUUUGCUAAUUGAACCGCUUCAAGCUUCAAAAACGAAUUAAACCGAGAGAAGACUCGAAUGAGAGACUUUCCAUCGAACCAAGUUUUGAUGUCAUCUUCAACUAUUAUUUUUUAUUUUUUAUUUUUUAUUUUUUAUUUUUUAUUUUUUAAUAGAGGCCCGACACUUGAUUUUUUUAAUUUUUAUGAAACCAUUAAAUGGUUGAUCCCAUUGCUUGUUUCAUAAAUGUCAAAGGGCAGUUCCAACCCUUCUUUUUUCCCCCCGCACAUUCCUUAAUAUGUAUUAAAUAUAAAUCAUCAAGUAAAAGUGUUUUCUUAUGGCAUGAAUUAUUUGUAAUUAAUAUAUAAACCACACAAAAUUAUAAAAAAUCAUAAAAUGCAAAACUAAUAAUAUAUGAAUAAUAUAAAAAAUUAUUUGAUUAAUAAAAAAUAUUCAUAUGUUUGUAUAAUAUGGUUAUCAUGAUUAAUAUAUACUAAUAUUAAAAAUAAAAUGAUGAAAUAGUUUAAUAAUAUAUGAAUUAUAAAUUUAUGAUGUUAUUAGUUUCAUCAUAGUUCAACUAUCAAUUUUAACCAUAAAUCAAUAACUUUUCCUAUUUAAUGACUUGUUUGGUUUUGAAACAUCGGUUAUAAGGGGUUAUUAAAAGAACAAAAAAAUGGUAAUUUAAUUAAGGCCAUUUUUUUUCAAUAUCUCUAAAUAUAUUCAAGAUAAAAAGAAAUGGUUUUACUAUUAUUAUUAUUAUUAUUUAAAUAAGAGUGUUUGGGAUGUUUUUGUAAAAAUAAUUUUUAAACAAGGAAAUAAAAUAAUUUUCAUUUUUAAAAAAAAAUUAAUUUUCUACUUUAAUUUUGUAAAAAGUUUUAAUAUUAAAUUAAAUUUAAUACAAAUCUUAUGAAAAAAUAAAAAAUAUUUUUUGCAAUUAUAAAUGAAUUAGAGAUCAUUUUUUUUUUAUAAUAUGUAAACACUAAUAUUAUAAUAAAGAACAAAUUAUAUUAUUUUUUGUUGGAAAAAAUGAUAAUAUUUUAACAGAUUUAAAGGAAAAUUAGGGUAUUGAAUUAGCACCUAUGGAACAUAUAAUCUACAUCAAUGAAAGUGUAUAGUAAAAUCUAAACCAUUGAAUAAAUGUACAAAUAAUCAGACCCAAGUAUAAAAGAAUAGAACUAUGUACAAUAAUGAGAUCAAUGUAUAAAAUAAUAAAUCAAUCAAAAUAAUGGGACCUAUUCAUAUGUAGUGCAAUUUGAUUCACAUUUUUUGAUAUGUAGCAAUUCAACAUUGUAGUGAGACUCAAAUAUGAAAUAUGGAUGUUAAUAUUUUAAUAUAAAAAAAUAAGUUAUAUUUUUUUAUUAAAAAUUAAUAAUAAGUUUUUGUAAAAAAAACAUGGAUUAAUAAUAUUUUAUUUAAAAUGAAUAGUAAAAAGAAGUAUAUUAAUUUUUUUAAUAAAUGAAUAAUCUUUGUUUUUAACUAAUGUACAUGUUUACUAUAUCUAAUUAUCUUUAGUAUUUUAUACCAAAUUUGGUCUUGGAAUUUUUGGCAUUAGACGAGUUGCAAACACAAUUCUGGGCUUUUAGGAAGUCCAUCAAUACAUUUAUGAAAUGGUGCAUGCACAUGCUAAUGUUUUGAAGCAAAAUAAAUGUUUUUGUCCUAUCAAACAAAGCUUAAAAAUUCUUGACUAUAAUUCUCAUUAUCUAUCCAUAUGAGACUAAUAAGCAAGGAUAUAAUUAUAGGCUUCCCAAAUCUCAGCAUGCAUAUAAUUAGAGAUAGUUUAUUAAAACAAGGUCAUGACACUUACAACAAUAAGAUGAAAAGCUGCUUUGUAGUUUUAAAAAAACUUUUUUUUUCUAUUAUAAAAAUUAAAAAGUAAAAAAAAAAAUUAUGUAAAACUUCAAAAAUUGAAUUAUAUUUAAGAAAGAUUAUAUGAUGUUUCAUAUAUUUAAAAUACGGUGUCUUAAUAAUAUAAAAAUACAAUUUCUAAGAAAUUCAAUGUUUUUUUUUAUGAAUUUUUGGUCAAAAUGACCCCUUUUAAAACUUAUAUCCAAUGUGAUAUCUUUUCAAUCACAUGAGUCUCACAUCAUUCUCCCAUAAAAAUAUAGCUGCAAUUGACAAUUAAGAUUUCAAUUAAAAAAUGAAGUUGCAAUUACCAAUUGAUACUUCGAUUAAAAAUUGAGAUUGCAUUUUUUAACUGAAGUCUUAAUUGGUAAUUGAGGUUUCAAAUUAAAAAAUGAAGUCAUAAUUAACAAUUAAAACUUCAUUUUUCUAACUAAACCCUCAAUUGCUAAAUAAAACCUUAACUUAAAUUAUAUAUAUAUAUAUAUAUAUAUAUAUAUAUAUAUAUAUAUAUAUAUAUAUUAUUUCUAGAUGGUAAUAAAAUGGUCACUUUGAACAUAAGUUUGACAGAAUGGUUAAACUUAAUUUUUUUCCCAUAAUGGGGCUAUUUUGGCCCAAAACUCAUUUUCUCUAACCUAACAUGAAUAUAAAAACUUGAGAUGAUGAAAUCAUUGUUUAAUAUAUUUAAAAUAUAGUACCUUACUAAUUAAAAUAAUAUAAAAAGUGAAUAUACGCAUUUGUGGACCCUACAUUUCGCUCGAUGCGUUCUCACUUGAUGACAAAACUCGCUUUUUUAUUUUAUUUGGUGAAAAAUUAUGAUUUUUAGAAAAAUACUUGGAGUCACCACUUAUUCUUGUUUUAUUUUUUAAGGAAAAAAAAAUUUAAAAUUAAAAAAAAAAAAAAAAAACCUAAAUGUGACUCCUGAAGGAAAAACAAAUCUACGAAAAAUCGAGUUUAGGUUUGAAAGUCAGGUUAUUAGAAAGGUACAGUAAAGACCGUAACACCCCUCUAAGUCCCUAAAAAUGAAUAUCUACUAAAUAAAAUGAAGCAAAUGUGGCAAUUAAUAAGGAAAGUAAUUGAUACCAAUGAAAUUAUCAAAUAGUAAAACGAACCAUGCAUAAGAACAAGCAAAGUGAGAGUGAAAUCGUACCUUAAUAGCAAGUAAUAGUGCGUUAUCAUAGAAACAAGGUUAGUUCAAGUACAAAAUUAUCACAUGCACAUCAAAAAGCAAUCCAAACAUCAAACAAUGUCCUUUAAGCAUAACAGUCGACAAUCAGAAGAGAAAAACUCAUAUAUAGGACCCUCACUAAAGCCCAAUUGAUUUUGCAUAAAUCAAUCUCACAAAUUCCAUUGUUUUGGAAUUAUGAAAAUGAUCUUCAUACUUAUUAAAAAUCAAGGAAAACGGAAAAUUAUUUUAAAAUCAAAGAAAAUUUAUACAAGCGCAUACCAAAAUGAGAAUGACAACAGACUUAUUAAAAUCAAGAUUUUUCGCAACCUAAAACCUUAAUAAAGGAUGAAAAGUUGUAGAAUUAAAAAAAUAUUUAAAACUGGAGUGGAAUUAAAAUUAUUCAAAAGAAAACUAGAGUUUUGAAAUUUAUUUGAAAAUUGAAAAUUUGAAAAUUAUUUCAAAAUUAAUUUGAAAAUUGGAAUUUUGAAAUAUUAUUUGAAAAUGGGAGUUUUGAAAAUUAAAUUUAAAAAUUAAGGUUUUAAAAUUUAAAUUUGAAAGAAAUUGGAGUUUUAAAAAUUAAUUGAGAAUUGGAAUUUUGAAAAUUAAAUUAUGAAAAUUGGAAUCUUGGAAAUUAUUCGAAGGUAUAAUUUUAUAAAUAAAUAAAUAAUAAUAAUAAUAAACAAAUUUAAAAUUUGAAAUUUUAGAAAUUAAAAAUUAAAUUCAAAAAUUAAAAUUUUGAAGAAUUAUUUAAAAAAUGAAUUUUAAAAAUAAACAAAUAGAAUAAUAAUAAUAACAAAAAUAUAAUGAUUAAAUAAAUAAAUAUGAAAAUUGGAAUUUUGGAAAUUUAAAUUUGGAAAUCGAAAUUUUGAAGAAUUAUUUAAAUAUGACAUUUUAAAAAUAAAUAAAUAAAAUAAAAUAAUAAUGACAAAAAUAAUAAUGAUAAAAUAAAUAAAUGUGAAAAUUGAAAUUUUAGAAAUUAAAAAUUAAAUUUGGAAAUGGAAAUUUUAAAAAAUUAUUUAAAGAUGAAAAUUUAAAAAUAAAUAAAUAAAUAAAAUAAUAAUGAUUACAAAAAUAAUAAUGAUAAAAUAAAUAAAUAUGAAAAUUAAAAUUUUGGAAAUUAAAAAUUAAAUAUAAAAAUUGGAAUUUUGAAGAAUUUAUUAAAAAACGAAGUUUUAAAAAUUAAAUUUAAAAAUUGAAAUUUUAAAAAAUUAUUUAAGAAUUGAAUUUUUAGCAAUCAUUUAAAAAUUGGAAUAAAAAUGAGAUUUUUCGAGAAAUCGGGAUUUUAAUAAUCAUUUAAAACAAAAAAUUUACGGAAAUCAAACUUGGACACGUGGAAAAAAAAAAAAAAGUUCCACCAUGAGACCACAACUGCACCAUUUCACUGCCACUUAAUGAGACCACAACUGCACCAUUUCACUGCCACUUAUUUAUUCAGAAAACUUGAAGUGCCCUGCCACUUAUGAAAAUUCCCAUGCCACCCUUGACUUGUCAUUCACCGUUUGCUUACACCGCCUUAUGUCAUUAGUGCGCUACCAGCUUCUGUAGGUGAAGUAAUGAAGCCCCACUUCUCCAUGAAAUGCACCAACUUGCUGCCUAUUUACACCUGGCAGCACCUAAGUCACCAUGCAGGGCCUCGUUCCACCUCCCAAAGGCGGCAACCCUGAAAUCCUUUCCAAGCUUCCUUUCUCAUCUUUGCUUUCCCCGCGUUCAACUUAUCCAUUCCGAAAAAGAAUUUUUGAACAGAAGUUCCCAAGUCUCCAGCUGUAUAUGCUUCAUUCUUGAGCACCUGUCGUUGAAGAUACUUGGCACAAAACUUUGCAACUACCUUACCUCCAUAGCCAUCACAAACACCAAAAAAACGAAGUGGAAGCAUCCAGAUCAGGGUAUGCAGCAUGAGCAUCUUCCAUGGUUGCGCGCCAUCCUUGCAUGGAUGAUGAACCAUAUCUAACCCUGCCAUUCUCACCAUCCUCAGAUAACUUCUCAGUUUUUGGGGUGCUCAGGUAUAUACCCAUCUCUAGCUGCGCGAUUGGCUCAGAUUUAUGUUCUGAAAGCUUGAACUCUAGGACUCUGUUCUCUGCCUUCUGGAAGGCUAGAAUCCUCCUGUCAAGCUCUUUCGCAAGACCGUCCCCCUUCCUCUUUUGUUGUCGUUCCUCCCCUUGAUGAAUCCACAAAGCUUUUAUAUCCUUCCCAAGGCUUUUCAUGGCCCGGGAAACAGUCUCGUCCGGCAACUUCUGUAAGAAAAAUAGCCAAUCAUGGCAGGUUAUGAGCAGCGGUGGCCCAUCGGCUCGGCAUGGCGGAGCUGAGCUUCUGCCUCGUGAGCAGAAUUCAACCUCAGGGACUACGAACUUGGAGAGCCAUCCAUGGAGAGCUUCAAAAAUGGAACCGUGGGCGUGUUCACCUCCCUGCCGGUCAGUUCUGUCCAGAAAGACUUCCCAAUUCGAGUCACAAAUUGAGCUGUGAGAUUAAUAACAUCCAACUCUUCCCCUGUAAUCCCUUCUGGAAGACGAACAGCGCAUUGCUCAGUCUCUGGGGGGCUCAAGAACCUUGCGGAAUGGUUUAAACUGGGACGAGGGCUCAUGCUUCAUCAAUGUCUCACUAUUGUCGGCAGGUGGAGCAGAUGGGGUAGAUUCAGGAGCAAAAGAAUCUGCAAGUCGUGAAGGAAUCUGCUGUGCAGAGGACUGAUUCUGAGAGCGAAGUUCAAACAGGCGGUGUUGGAGGUAUGCACGGUAGGGAUCCGAACCAUUCAAGAAAUUGAACUUUACAUUGCCAGCAUGAGCAUCGGUAAAUGAAGUUCCAAUAGGGGUUUCUGCUCUCAGACCCAAUUCCUCAACAGAGUGACACUUGAAAUCAAUGUGAACCCACACACAGGGGAGGCACAUACGGGGAGUGCACAAAACAAGGAGGAAAUACAGAAAAAGAAAGAAAACAGGAAAAAAGGAAUGACAGUAAAAAUAGGCCAGACUCUGAUAGUCGUAGUGAACAAAGCUCCAAAUCAUGCAUUCUCAAUGAGCUUUAAGAGUAAAUGAAGAGACCAAAAGAGAAUUCGGAAAGAGAAUGAAACAUACUUCUGAAACAAAAGACACGAAAAAAGUCAAAGGUAAUGGUAGGAAUAAUCUCCAGAUUCAGCAAUCACCAUACAACUUUGGAUAUCCAUACAUAACCAACUAAUAACACCCACACAUAAGCAACAAAUAGAAUGCCAGAAACUCAAGAACAGAGUGAAGAUAGUGAUAUGCAUAAAUAAUCUGAGAGCUGGGAUAAUCAUACCUGAGAAAUCUCCCUUACACGCAAUGUUUUCUACACCUAUAAUUCACCCCGAAGCCCACGAUAAAUUCUCUCUUUUUCUGUGUAUCCCACUCUCCCCGUCAAACUGGAGAAUGCCCUCUGCUCCAAAGAAGGACACGUCUCUCUCCCGUCCCAUCUUGAAAAAAUCCCCUCUUUUUUCAUCCUCCAGAUCCCAAAACCUCACAUAUCCCAAAGAAAAGUAGAAAAGAAUAAUAAUAUCUUGAAAAACUCUCCUCCUUUUUUCAUCCUCCAGAUCCCAAAACCUCACCUGCUCCAAAGAAAAGUAGAAAAGAAUAAUAAUUGCUCCAAAGAAAAGUAGAAAAGAAUAAUAAUAUCUUGAAAAACUCUCCUCCUUUUUUCAUCCUCCAGAUCCCAAAACCUCACCUGCUCCAAAGAAAAGUAGAAAAGAUUUCAUCCUCCAGACCCCAAAACCUCACCUGCUCCAAAGAAAAGUAGAAAAGAUUUCAUCCUCCAGACCCCAAAACCUCACCUGCUCCAAAGAAAAGUAGAAAAGAAUAAUAAUUGCUCCAAAGAAAAGUAGAAAAGAAUAAUAAUAUCUUGACAAAAUCUUCUCCCUUUUUCAUCCUCCAGAUCCCAAAACCUCACAGAUCCAAAGAAAAGUAGAAAAGAAUGAUUAAUAUUUUCUCUAAUUUAAGACGAAUAUAAAAAUUUGAGAUAAUGAAAUUGCUAUUUCGUAUAGAUAAAAUUUAGUACCUUGAAAUUAAAAAUAAUAUAAAAAUAAAUAUACAUAUUAUUUAAAAUCUAUUUGCUUAUAAAUUUAAGUUGUUAAAUAAUACAUCUCAUCAUCCUCCAAAUGAAUAAAAUGUUACCUAGCAACUCCAAUUUGUAAAAAAAUAGAUUUUAAAACGUAAAUAAUUGAUUGAUGAUAUCUAAGAAAUUCAACGUUUGAUCUAAUAUGUGUAUAUAAAUUUGAGAUAACAAAAUUAUUGUUUCAUAUGUUUAAAAUACAGUAACUUAGUAAUUAAAAAUAAUGGAUACAUAUUCUUUAAAAUCUAUUUGUUUAUAAAUUUAAAUGGUUAGGUAAUGCAUCCGAUCUCACCCUCCAAAAGAAUAAGACUUUAUCGAACAACUCAUUUUAUUAAGUAAAUAGAUUUUAAAACACAAACAAUUGGCAAAUGAUAUUUAAGAAAUUCAAUAUUUUCGCUAACCUAAGAUGAAUUUAAAAAUUCAAGAUGAGGAAAUAGUUGUUUCAUAUAUUUAAGAUACAAUACCUCAAUUAUUAAAAAUAAUAUAAAAAUAAAUAUAGACAUUAUUUAAAAUCCAUUUUCUUAUAAGUUUAAGUUGUUAGAUAAUACAUCCCAUCUUAUCAUCUAAAUGAAUAAAAUGUUACUUAACAAUUCAAAUUUGUAAGUAAAUAGAUAUUAAAACAACAACGAUUGGUUAAUGAUGUAGUAUCCCACAUCACCUGAGGAGUGAAUGGCGAAGAGCCAUACACAAAGGACUUUCACAAUAUACUAUUAAGGCCUUUUAUUAAGGAUGUAGGUCUAAUAAAGAAAUAAAAUUGGGGCCGAUUGGUGGGAUCUGUGUACCACUAUAACCUUGAAUCAGACAAUAUUGGAUGAAGAGUGGGGUUAUGACAAUUGUAUUAAGGCCUAAUCUUCAACCGAAAGUAUGCUAGCGAAGACAUUGGGCCCCAAGGGGGUGGACUAUAAUGUUCCACGUCGCUCAAGGAGUGAAUGAUGAGAGCCAUAUAUGAAGGGCUUUCAUAAUAUACUAUCAAGACUUUUUUUUUAGGGCGUAGGCCCAAUAAAGAAGCAAAAUUAGGGCUGAUUGGUGGGACGUGUGUAUGCUACUGUAGCCUUAAAUUAGACAAUAUCGAGUGGAGAGUGGGGCCAUGACAGAUGAUAUCUAAUAAUUUGAAUGUUUUCUUGGACCUAAAAUGAAUAUAAAAAUUCAAGAUGAAGAUUGUUUGCUCAACUAUUGAUACUUAAAUGAGAAGAUAGGAAGACACAAAAUUCAUGGUGAUGCGUUUGCCAAUGGAGGAGGGGGAAAACAAGGAAUGGGCAACAUUUAGUACUUCAUUCAAAGAGUAGAAGUUAAACUGAAGCACCAACAGACAUGAUAGUGUGCAUUUUAAAAGCCAUAUGUAGAGAGAAGAGAAAAUUAGAACAAAUGAAGUUUAACUUUUUGGUAUUUCAGAUUGAGAGGGUGUUUAGUAAAAUAAUUUAAUAUUAUAAUUUAAAAUUAAAAAUGACUUAAUAUAUAAAAAGUUAAAAUAAUUUAUUUUUUCUACAGCACAAAUAUCCUUUAUUUUCAUAGAUUAUGUCUCUUUUUUCCAUCGUUUAUUUGUUACAACCUUUUUAUUCAAUAUCAAUUAGGAUAAAUAUAUCAAUUUAAUUGUUUGGAAAAUUUUUUAAAUUGGUUUAAAAAAAAUAACACUAGAAUAAUAAUUAAAUAUUGAAUUUUAUUCAAAUAAAUUAAUCUAAUUUUACUUAAAAUUGUUUUAAUUUAUUUAGCAUUAAGUACUUUAAUUCAUUAAGAAUUAAUGAUUAAGUUAUUGAAUACUUGCUAACUUUCAACCUAGCUAUUUCUCAUCUUUUCCAUACCAUUCUAAAAUAAUAUAUAAAUAAAAUUCAAAACAUUGAGAUUAAUGGAUAAAGCUGAAGUUCAAAUUGUGGAAAAGAUAGUGAAAAGAGGAGAUUUAUUGAUCGGGAAAUCAAUUUCACUCUAUUCCAAUUGUUAGAGAUGCAGUACUAGCCCCACAGAAAUAACUCAAGUAUACCAGCUCUAUAGCAACAACACAGGUGCACUACGUCUAAGUUCUGCUUUACACAGUAUGGUAUAAAAUUAAAAAUAAUUCUAAUGGUUCAAUCGAGCAGUAUAGAACUUGAUUAGUUGAUAAGGGGUUCUCUUAACAGUAUGGUAUGGAUUAUGAGGAGACUUUUGCCUUUAUUAUAAAGAUGACUACUAUUUGUACUCUUAUAGCAGUUUCUGCUUUUUGUUAGUGACAUAUAUCUCAUAUGGAUUUUAAAAAUACCUUCUUGAAUCAUGAUCUUUAAGAAGAAUUCUACAUGGUACCCUCUUUUUAUCUUUCUCCUAACCCUGAAGAAGUUUGCAAGCUCAAGAAAGCCUUAUAUCGUCUCAAAUAAGGACUUCAAGCUUGAUUUGCAAAGUUCUCUUAUGUGUUUACUUCUCUUGGUUUUUAUCCCAAUCAUCAUGAUCAUGUAUUCUUUAUAAAAUACACUACCAUUGGUUGUAUUCUACUUUCUUUAUAAAUCAUAUUUGGCUUUUAAUUUUGAAAUAAAGAAUUUAGGUUCUUUACGAUAGUUUUUAAGAAGUAACUUUUUCUCCAAAAGGUUAUCUUCUCUAGUAGUCUAAGUAUACAACCGAUAUUCUUGAUCGUGCUCACCUUAUUGAUACUAAAAGUACUGUUGAUACUCUCCUUCAAGUUAAUGUUCGGUAAUCUUGUUCUUAUGAUAACCCCUUAUCAGACCCUACAGUAUAUCAUACUAUUGUUAGCAGCUUAGUCUAUCUCACCAUUAUACGUACGAGCAUUACUUAUGUUGUUUAUAUUGUUAGUUAGUUUGUUACUUCUCCUACCACAUUUUAUUGGGUUGUUGUUCUUCCUAUUCUAUUGUAUAUUUGGGGCACUCUAUUUUAGAGUAUUUCCCUUCCAUCCACUUCCUUUUUGGAGCUGUAUGCACAUUUUAACACUGAUUGGGGCCAAUGAUCUCGAAGAUUGCAAGUCUACCAUUAGAUUUUGUAUGUUUUUUUUCUUUUUUAGAGAUUCUCUUAUUUCUUAGUAGAGCAAGAAAUAGACUAUCAUUUUUUGAUCUUCCACAAAAGUUGAAUAUUGUGUUCUGACAUCUGCCACUUGUGAGAUAGUUUGGUUAUGUCAGUUACUUACUGAUAUGAGUGUUUCUCUUCCUUGUCUCACUCCUAUUUACUGUGACAACAAGAGUAUUGUUCAGAUUGCACACAACUUUGUUUUUUAUAAAGGGACCAAACAUAUUGAGAUUGUUUGUCACCUUACUUGUCAUCUCCUUUAUCAUGACACUCUUACUUUGCUUUUUGUUCUGUCUUCCCUAUAGAUUACCAACUUGCUUACCAAGUUACACGCCACUUCCACAUUCUAAGUUUUGGUUGGCAAACUCUUGUUAUUUCUUGUAGUUGCAUCAUGAAUUUGUAAGAGGAUGUUAGAGUUAUUUAUUUGUUAAGAGUUAUUUAUUUUUUAUAUUAAAAUUAUUAUCUUUCUUUUUAGGAAUAAAGAUAAAUUAAUCAUUUCUUUUUAUUUCCUUUGAUUGUAAACUUGUUUAAACUCUAUUUGUAUUAUAUUUAUUUUUUAAGUAAUUAUAUAAAACACCUUAGAUUUUCUUUCUUCUCUUUGUUUGUGAUUCUUUUGAAGCUCAUAUUUGUGUAGAACUUGGAACAAUCCCUUAUGUUUUCUUGAAAGAAUAAAUCAUGGAGUCCAUGCGUUCUACCAUUUUGGAAACAUCUUAGUUUACCUACAUGCUGAUGCUAUAAAUUUUAAAAAAAAAAUUACUUGAAUUUGGAGCAUCUUUUAAUGUGAUUUAACAUUACCUAAUGAACCCAACAUUGGUUUUAUGCGGUGUUUGAAAAAUUAGCUAUCGACUAUGGCCAAAUCGGUCACCGAUAAUCGGUUGAGAGAAAAAUGGACAGAAAAUCUACAAUUUCGCCAAUAAAUCGGCGAAAUAUCGGAGAUAAGUCGGGACGUGUGGCAAUGCAUGCAUGGGCGAUGGGGCAGUGUCAAAAAAAUUGUCUAUAACUGGGAUUUUUUAAUUAUUCAUUUUUAAUUUAUCAUUUUAUUUUAUAUUAUCCUUUUAUUUUUAACUACUUUCCAUAUUUAUCUCAUUAAUUCUAUUUAAAAAAAUUACUAUCACUUCAACCUUAAUACAUAUAUAUUAUGUUUAUCCUUUUAAUUUUAAAUGUUUUGUUUUAAAAAAUUAAAAAUAUAAUUUUACUCAAAAAUUGCACAAUAUAAAAAAAAUUAAUGAAGUUCUAAUAUUUUAUAAAUUAAAAUUAAUUUGAUAAGAUAAAUUAUUAAUAAUUUUAAUUAUAUAAAUAAAUUAAUGUUAAUAGAAAAAGUUAUCACCACAAGAUUUGUAAUAAAAUUUUAGAAAUUAAAUCUCAAAUAAAAUAUGUUAUAUAAAUCAAUUUAAUUUUUUAUUUAAAUGUAAUAAAACAUGGUUUAAUAAAAAUAUUUUUAAAAUUUUAAAAUAAAUGAAUAUAAAUAUAUUAAAGGAAUUUAAGCUAUUUUUUUAUAUAAAAAUUUGAUAAAUAUUAUUUUUAAUCAUAGUUAUCAAUUAUACUUAUAAAAUAACUUUAAAAUGUGUAUUCUUUAUUUUAUUAUUAUUAUUUUUAAGUUUUUAAGCAUUUUAUUGAAUUUUGAACUAUUUCUGUUCAAUCGAUAUUUUUGUCAAAAUAUUUAUUAUAUUUUCCAUUUAUCCGUAAAAUCUAAUUACCAAUAUAUCUGUAUUUACUAAUAUUUUAAAUCUUAGGUUGGUGAUGUUGCCGGACUAGUGUUAGUCCAUGCUUUGACCCAUUCAGCUUUAAUGAGUAAUAAUAAUCUUUUCAUCACAAUUUUCUAUGGACCCCGUAUUUCGGCUCAUGCGUUUUUCACAGGAUGGUGAGCUCGAUUUUUAUUUAAAAAUGAUUUUUAUUUAUUAAAAAAAUGACUUGGAAUUGCCACUUAUUUUUGUUUUAUUAUUUUUUUUAAAAGGGUAAAUAAAAUAAGAAAGAAAACCCUAAGUGUGACUCCUCAUUUUGGAAAAGGUGAUCUACGAAAAACCGGAUCGGGCUCAGGGGUCAGGGUACUUAUUAGGAAGGUACGGUAAAUACCGUAGCACCCCUCUAAGUCCCUAAAGUCGGGUCUCUACUAAUGAGAUGAAGCAAUCAUGACAAUGGAUGAAUGAAUCAAUAAAUAUUCAGAGUAGUUAUGCACAUAUGAGAGUCAAAAAAACGCAUAUAGGCUAACUAGAGUGAGAAUGAGUGCGUACCUGAGCAACGAACCAUCAUGUGCUAUCAAGAGAGAGGGUUAGUGCACAAUAACAAUCACGAGAUAUGUCACAGUGCAUAAUAAAAUCAAUCAUUCAUGACAAUUAAAUCAAUCAAUCAAUCAAUCAAUUAUAACUUCAUGUAUGUGGUGGGGCCCCCACCAAAGCCCGAUCUAUUUUUGCAUGAAUUAAUUUCAUAAAUUCCAUUAAUUGGAAUUACAAAAUUAAAGUCUUGCUUAUUUUAAAACGUUUUAAAACAAAAGAGAUGUGGAAAUUGUUUGCCAGAAGGAAAGAUGACAACAAAAAUUUAUUGGAAAUGAGAUUUGUGAAUGAUUCUAAAAAAAACCUAAAGAUGAAAAUUAAAAAUAAAUAAAUAAAUAAAUUGAUAAAAGUGGAGUUUGGAAAAAUAAAAAGAAAACUAGAAUCCGGGGAAUUAUAUGGAAAAUGGGAGUGUAGGGAAUUAUUUAUGAAGACAGAAUAAGGGUGAAAAAGUGGGAAUGUGUCACGUGGCCAUAAGGUGGCCAUGCUAAAGGUGCCUAAACAAAAAAAGGAGAGGCGGCCAAGCAUGGCCCAGUAGGAAUGGGCCCAGGGAUGUGUCUAAUGCUGCACUCUCACUUGUUUCCGUUCAAUCUUCUGUACAUAUCACAGUUUCCUUUGGCAUAUGGGCCAUUGAUCACCUUGCUUGCAAAGAUAGCUCUAUCGGGUAUUUCAAAUUUCACCCCAGCCUUAGCUUCAAUAGUUACCUUCCCUUGAGAGUGAUACCAGGCCUAAACCAUACAUCACCAGCUACCUUGAGUCAAUCCAGCUUAAUAAUACUAGGGGUUGACUUGAAUUCAUUGGCAUGUUCAUCUGGGACCUGCUUGGGCUUCGAUCUGACCCCAUGACAUUGACCAGCAGAAGGUAUUAGAGAUCCUGAAGCCACAGCUGCAUGAAACUGUUUCUGCAAACUUGUUUUGCAUUCCCGAGUCAAGACUCUACAUGGAUCAAAUGUCAACUGCAAAAGGGCAUCUGGAGAUAUAUGCUUUGAAUUCCUCAAUGUUGUGGAGUUUGCUGCAAGGUGUAAAGGAGUUCCAGCAUGACAUCUAGGACGGUAAGCGUUCACAUUGGCACCCAAUUCAAUCGAAGUUUUUGCAACAUUGGAAAAUUCAGAAAACAGGCACGCCACAAUCAAUGGAGUCUUUCCUUCUUGCUUCCCGUUUGACCAUAGGUGAAUAUACAGGCUUCCUAUCCAUUUAACACCGAAAUCACCAUCAAUAAAGCGUCUGCAAUCACAUCAACCUGAUCAUCUCUCGGCUCAUAAACACAGUCAAACUUGAAAUUCUUUCUGAUAGAUCCGACAGGCAGAAUGAAGUGCUGCAGGGUGGCUUCCGUGGCUCGGUCGAAAGCCGUAGCGAAACUGUUCUCGGGGAGCCCCGGAGCCAGCGUCUGCGGGUCCUUCCCAAUGGCGCGGGUGACCCUACGAGCCAUGGCUUGGCGCAGAGUCCGGGUGGUGAAUUCCAGUGCGGCGGUCUUACGCUGGAACCGCCACGUUUCGCCAUCAGAAUUGAAGAUCCCCUCACCGACAGCUUUUAGCACAUUAACUGGAUCUUUUUCCUCCUCAUUCUCUUCACUUCGUCCCUGUUCAUGGACUUGAAAAGCUGGAACCUCAGAUUCUUCAUCUGGCAAUGACUUAACACUCUCAUAUAUCUGCUUCAGCCUGUGCUCUAAUCCUUCCCAGUCGUUCAUUAUCAGCGGGAUCAGAAUUAUUAAUGCCAUUAACUCAAACCUCAGUAGAAUCAUGAGUGUCAAUUGUCACGAAACCAAAAAUCUGUUCCUUUAACAGCUGGCAUGUCACGAAACAAAAAUGGAACCACCGAGAUUAAGAAUGAGCUUACGUGCGGGCUGCAUGGGUAUGAAAGAGAAUGGGAAAAGAGUACAAGUGGAGGAAGUGGUGAGGGAAAAUGGUGUAGUGGGGGAGCGAGUGGGCAGGAGGGGUAGAAAGAUUGGUGGAAUAUAUAGGUAUGGAAGUGGGAGUAUUCAUGCAUGGAAAAUGGAAAGGUGAUGAGAUGGGUGAGCAUGAAGGUUAGAAAAGAUGGGUAUGGGGGGGCAUGAAAGGAUAAUCUUGCAGGGACCGAGGGAGUUCAAGACCCAUCCGCGCAGACCUGGUUAUGGAAGAUAUGAUGGGCAUAGGAUGAAUUGAUGGUAUGUAUGGGUAUGAAGUAACGAAGGUAGGAUGGUGAGGAAUAGAAAUGGCCAUGCAUAGGGUUCGGUGAGUAACCAUGCAUGCAUGGUUCAGGCACGUGACAUAGGGAAAGUGAUAAGAGAGAGUGGACUUGAUGAGUGAGAGUGCAAAAUGGGUAUGAAAAAUGGAUGGUGAUGUUAGCUACUGUAAGUGGGUGUAAUGAACGGAUGAGGAAAAGUAAUGAGGAGUGGGCUUAGUGAGCUCGGAAUUGGAGGAUUGGUAGUGGGAGUUAGUGAGGGAUGGGUUAAUGAAGGGGGUGAGUGGCAGCCAAGAGGGUAGUGUAUGUUACCAAGGAUGGUUUGCAGAUUUCUUGGGUUUUAGAGAUUGAUGACGGAAUUGGGCUUGCGUUGGAACAAAGGCAUGGAUGUUUAGAGAGAGAAAUGGGUAGAUGAAUGUGAAGGCUGCGCGGUACAGGAGAUAGGAAUGGGUUUUGUGAGGGCCAUGUAUAGCAAAGAUGAUAAGUGCGUCAUCCACUUCAUGGUUGUAACAAUCUCUCAAAUUCAUCAGGUACAUCAUGCAAGACCCGAAUAGAGCCAAAAACAACAUCAAAUGGUGACAGCUCUUAUGUUUUUCAAUGGCUCUUCUAGCUCUUGAUUCCACUAGGCUCAGAUUCCUCAUACAAAAAGGGAGUUCCGGUCACUUGUUUCUUUUUCUCGUAUUAGAGAAUUAACAUAUAGUUCCUUCUCCAACCGGUGUUGUAUAGAUGCUUCCCAUUAAUGGGUUCAAACACUAAAUUUCUCUCACUGAUUCACCUUGCAAUGACUCAUACCUCUCACUUAGCACUUGCCAUUCAAGGUGAUCUUUAACCUUUGAUUACUCGUCAAAAGCUCGCAAGAGAUAACUAAUGGAUGUCUCCUUGGAAUCCAAAAGCUUACCAAGUGUUGGUUAUUCUAGAAAAUCCUACCUUCAAACCACCUCCCAAAAGCUCACAAGAGAUAAACUAGUGCAUCUCCAUGGACGGAGAUCACUUGCCUUAUCAAGUGUUGGCCCAAGUGAUUUAAAGACGUUUUAAGUUAACUAAAAAAAUAAAAACCAUUAACGGGUCACAUUUUCUCUUCAUUAAAAACUAAAACAACAAAACUUCCAAUUUUUCAUUUGGAAACUUACCCGGCUUUCUUCACUCCAAGAGAUGAAGAGCCUAGCCUCUCAUCCUCUAAGGAAAAAUCCUCAGAGUUUGAUUGGCUAGAAAGAAAAAUAACGAGAAAACAAAAAAUAUAUAUAUGAAAAGCAGAGCAAGUGCUCUAUAAAAUAUAUUCCUUAUUAUUACAAAAGGUUGUCGUCCUUUUCUUUUUUCUCUGGGAACAGGCUCCCGAGAUCUAUAUUUAUAUGAAAAUAACAAUAAUAAUAAUUAUCUGGUUAUUCCCCUUUUUCCUAACUUAAUAGCUAAGGAAUCCUAUAAUUGGUGGCUUACAAGGAGAGUUUGGAGAUUUAGACAACAAAAAUCUGAAGAAAAAUAUCUCAAAGUGUCGGUCGCAAAUAUCGGGAAGCACUAAGGACCAUUUCGCAGGUGAAAACGAGGUCUGCGAGAUUUCGCAGACGCACAAAAAGGGCUACGAAAUCACUUCGCAGCAAAAGGCUGAUUUCGCAGUGCUGCGAAGUUGGCUUCCAGCUUGCGGUGUUCGGCUUCCAAUGACUGUAACUCCUUCAUUUCAGCUCCGAAUUGCGUAUCGUUUGAAGCAUUGGAUUGCUGACUUCCUAAGCUUUGAAACGAAAUAUAGCAUGCAUAAAUUGGACUCCAGGAAGUGCUUCAAAAGUGGCUGACAUGACUGUCAUCAAGAAUGCUUCAUGGCAGAUUUCUCUUUGCUUCCCUUCCUUGUAUUCUGGAUUUGCUUAUGGCAAAGGACUUCAAAGCUUCGGUUCUUCAUGUUUCUGAGCUUUCCAUUGCUUUGCCAUGGAUUCCAAAUAACUCUCCUCAAUCUCAGAUUGCUUUGGUGAUCAAAAAGUUAUCAAAACACCAAAACUUAACACAAUUUGAUUAGAAUUGAUUGCAAGGGUCCUUAACAUGUUAAUUGGGUUAAAAGACAAUAACUACUACUCAAAAAUGUUUAAAAGAGUUAAUUACAAGCUAUCAAAUAACACUUUUUGAGUAGUAAUCAAUUCUACUUUGGUCUUAGAAGGAAGUGCACUUAUGCUUUUCAUAAUUUCAUUAGCACUUCUAUCAUUUGGAUGCAGACCCACUUUGGCAUGCUGGCAAAGCAAUGAGUAUAAGUCAAAACGACCACCCUCUCCACUGUCAUCAACUCUCAACACCAUGAAGGCAUACUUCAGCAGAGAAAUGGUGGUUAUGAUCCAGAACAUAAGAGAGAGGAGCUCAUAUAUCCUCUGUUCUGAUAUCAUAUCCUCUUUUGGAACUGACAUGAAUACCUUCAGUGGAGCAGUCCUCAAGCGGCCAUAAACUAUCACGAGGCUUUGAAAUGCCAAAAGGAAUGUAUGUCUCCAUGUCUCUUUCUGUAGCCAUUCUUUUUCUUUGUUGCCUACUUCACAAAGCUUCCAUUCGCAAUUACCGAACGACCAUCCUAGUGGUUGACUGAACCUAGAAUCUCCCGCUGAAAGUUUUCAUGCUAUUUCCAGAACUCGAUCCAGAUUUCCUCGUUCAUGUGUUCAGCAGAUAUAGGCAUAAAAUCAUCUAGCCAUGAUAAGCAUGUCGUGGCCCUUCAUGCCCAUAGUCUGAAAGCAUAUUCCUGUGUCGCCUUCUUCCAGCAGAGAUGGAGAGUCUGAUGCAUAUAGCCAAGCACAGGAACAGAAGAAACGGCUGACAGAACACGGAAUGAUAGAUACCAAAUGAAACCGUACGAUACUUCAUUUCAUGUAAUAGUCCAUGAGCUCGCAUGUAAGAGGUAGGCAAAAAUGAAUUUCAAGAAGGUUCGCAAAGAGCAAUCAAAUCAUGAUGGCAAACAACUCAUGAAGGAAAAAAAGAAAACUCGCAAAAAAUAAUCCCAUAAGAAUAGGUUAGUAGUCAAGCACAACAAGAGCGUGAGCGUACUUCAACCUCAAAACAGAGUAUCUGGACAAAAUGGCAUUGAGACGAAAAGAGUUAAUAGUUUAUAGGAAUAAUACCUGAGACUCCUUCUUUCACAAUGAUUCCUCCGCGUAUUCCUUCUUCUCACUGGUCCUUUAGAAUAUUAAGCUCCCCUAUGACAAAACCUCCAACAGUCACAACGCCCCUCACUAUCAUUCAGCUUGCUCCCCCGAGCCAAAAGAACACACUCCUCCUCUUCCUCUGCCCAAAAAAAAGCUCCUUUCCCCCCACUGAUCUGGAUGUCCCGCUUGAAGAAAAGCCCUCCCCGCCACCUAUACCUUUUUUUCCUUCCUUUUAUUUCCUAUCUCCCCUGUUUUUGUCUUCCUCAGCAAGCCAUCACCAACCCUACUGUUCCUCCAUCAGCCAGCAUGGCUUCUCAACCACCUUCAUGGCCGACCAUCACGCCCCUUGCCGUGUGCAUGGGAUCCAUGCAUGGAGAGGGGUCUCCCCACACAUCUCGGGUGCUGCCAGCUCCUCCAGGUGGUGAAAUAGCAUUCUCCCCAUGCUAUAAAAAUCUCUAAAAAAACUAGUAGUCUUUGAUUUUCUGAAAGGGGGUCUACAUUUUCCAAUUCAUAAGGUUAUAAUUGGUUAUUAAAAAGAAGAAAAAUUUGGUAACCUAAUUGCUCGAGUCCGAUUUGUUAAUAUUUCUGAAUAUAUAUUCAAGAUACAAAAUAAAAUAAUAAUAAUAAUUAUUAUUAUUAUUAUUAUGGGAUAUAUUUAAUCCAAACCACUUAAAAUCUUAAUCGUUAAAUAAAUUAAUAAAUAAAGAAACCUAAGUAUAAAAGAAUAGAAAUGGGUACAAACAAUGAAAUUGAAGUACUAAAGGAUGAAACAAAUGUAUAAACCAAUAAGAUGUUCAAAAUAAUGGGAUCUAUGCACAUGUGGUGCAAUUUGAUUAAUUGCAAUUUUGAUAUGUUGCACAAUUCAGUAGUGUAGUGAGAACCAAGAGUAUACAACAUGAAUGUUAAUAUUUUAAUAAAAAUAUAAAUUAUAUUUUUUGUUAAAAUAAAUAAUAAUUUUUCUAAAAAAAUACAUAUCAGUAAUAUUUUAUUUAAAUGAAUUCUAAAAGACAUACAUAACUUUUUUUAAAUAUAUAAAUAAAUUUUUUUUCAUUUAUUUAUUUUUUAACUUAGGAACAUGUUUACUAUCUAAUUAUUUUGAGCAUUUUAUACCAAAUUUAGUGUUGAAAUUUUUUCUAUUAAAUGAGUUGCAAAUACAAAUUCUCUAUUCAAGAAGUUUAGGCACGGUGGGUUACAUUUUUGUACUCCUUGUCCAUUAAUGCAUUUAUGAAAUGAUACGCUAAUGUUUUGAAGCAAAAUAAAUGUUUAUGGUCUAUUGACAAGAAUUAAAGAACUUCUUGUCUAUGAUUCUCUUGUCUAUCCAUACAAGACUUGAAGGCAACGAUGAAAUUAUAGGCUUCUCAAAUCAGCAUGCAUAUGAUUGGAGAUGGUGUAUGAAAAAUAAGGUCAUGAAACUUAUAACAAUAAGAUGAUUAGCUGUUUUGUAGCUUAAAUAAAACCUUUUUUCUAUUAUAAAAACUGAAAAAUAAAAUGUAGAAAUUUGAUAAUUGAAUUACAUUUAAGAAACCUUAAAAAUUGUUUCAUAAAUUUAAAAUAUAAUACCUUAAUAAUUAAAAAUGAAUAUACACAUUGUUUAAAAUCUAUUUGCUUAUUAUAUAAGUUUAAGUUGUUAGAUGAUACAUCCCAUCUUAUCCUCCAAAUGGAUAAGAAUCAACCUAUUUCCUAACAAUUCAAAAUUUUAAGCAAAUAGAUUCAAUGUUUUUCUAUAGCUUAAUAUGAAUAUAAAAAUUUGAGAUAAUGAAACUAUUGUUAUAUAAUACAUCCCAUCUUAUCCUCCAAAAGAAUAAGAGAUUACCUAACAAUUCAAAUUUGUAAUUAAGCAAAUAGACUUUAAUAUGAAUAUAACAAAUAUUUAAAAACUAUUGUGAACAACUGGUUGAUGAUAUUUAAGAAAUUCAAUGUUUUUUCUAACUUAAUAUGAAUAUAAAAAAUAUUCUAGAUAACGAAAUCGUUGUUUCAUAUGUUUAAAAUAUAGUACCUUAACAAUUCAAUAUAUAUAUAAAGAUGAAUAUACAUAGUAUUUAAAAUCUAUUUGCCUAUGAAUUUGAGUUGUUUAGUAAUACAUCCCAUCUUAUCCUCCAAAUGAAUAAGGCGUUACCUAACAACUCAAUUUUGUAAACAAAUGGAUUUUAAAAUGCAAAUAAUUAAUUAAUGAUUUGAAAAAAAAUUCAAUGUUUGACCUAAUAUGAAUAAGCAAAUUUGAGAUAGUGAAAUUGCGCAUUGUUUUAUAUGUUUAAAAUACAAUACCAUAAAAAUUAAAAAUAAUAUAUUUAAAGAUGAAUAUACACACCAUUUAAAAUCUAUUCGCUUAUAAAUUUAAGCUGUUAAGUAAUACCUCCUAUUUUAUCCUCCAAAUGAAUAAGAUGUUGCCUAACAACUCAAAUUUAUAAGAAAAUGGAUUUUAAAAUGCAAAUAAUUGAUUGGUAAUAUCUAAGAACUUCAAUGUUUGACCUAAUAUGAGUAUAAAAAUUCGAGAUAACCAAACUGUUGUUUCAUAUGUUUAAAAUAUAGUAUCUUAAUAAUUAAAAUAAUAUAAAGAUGAAUAUAAAUAUUAUUAAAAAACUACUUGUUUAUAAAUUUAAGUUAUUAGGUAAGACAUCCCAUCUCAUCCACCAAAUGAAUAGGCCAUUGCCUAACAACUUAAAUUUGUAAGAAAAUAGAUUAAAAAGUACAAACAAUUGGUUAAUGAUAUUUAAGAAAGUUGUUGUUUCAUAUUUAAAAUACAAUCUUAACAAUUAAAAAUAAUAUAAAAAUAAAUACAGACAUUAUUUAAAAUCCAUUUCCUUAUAAAUUUAAGUUGUUAGAAAAUACAUCUUAUUUUAUCCUCCAAAUAAAUAAGAUCUUACCUAACAACUCAAAUUUGUAAGUAAUUAGAUUUUAGAAUGUGAACAGUUGGUUGAUGAUAUCAAAGAAAUUCAAUACCUAACAACUCAAAUCUGUAAGUAAUUAGAUUUUACAAUAUGAACAUUUGAUUGAUGAUAUAUAUAAGAAAUUCAAUUUUUUCUUUUACCUAAAAUGAAUAUAAAAUUUUGUUAUGAGGAUUGUUUGCUCAACUAUUGAAACUUAAUAAGAAGAUAGGAAGCGACAAAGCUUAUGGGGAUAUGUUUGCCACAAUAGAGUGAGGAAAAUAAGGAUUGGGUAGCAUUCAGUAUGAUAGCGCACUUUUUAAAAGUCACAUAUAGGUAGAAUGAAGAGAAAAUUAGAACAAAUGAACUUUAAUUUUUUGGUAUUUUUGAAACUAAAAGUGUUUAGUAAAAUAAUUUAAUAUUACAAAACUUACAGUUAAAAAUGACUUAAAUACGUAAAAAGUUAAAAUAAUUUAUUUUUUGUAUAUCACAAAUAUCCUUUCAUUGGUUGUCUCUUUCUUCCAUUGUUUAUUUUUUUACAGUAAAAUAAUUAUUUUUUCAAAUAAUUAUAAUAAAAGUACAAACAAUUAAAUAUAUCAAUUUAAUUGUUUAGAAAAAAAUUUAAAUUGGUUUUUAAAAAAACUUAAACACUAGAAACAAUAAUUAUAUACUGAAUUUUAUAUAAAUAAAUUAUUCAUAAUUUAACUUGAAAUUAUUUUAAUUUGUUAAGCAUUAAGUACUUUAAUUCAUUAUGCACUAACUAUUAAGCUUUACUGAAAGCUAGAUAUAAAUAAAGAGAGAGGACAAGGACGAAUAUUCCAACCCCAGUGGCAACGCCUUUAAGGAAUUUUGCAACAAAAUUUUUGGAAGAUUCUGUGCAACGUCCCAGGAUUGCUGAACGUAGAGGUGAAUAUGAGAGAAAAAAAUGGGGACAGAAGAAAUCCAACCACACCCCAAACAGCAUUUUUCCAAUUAUGUGUCAU
rnacentral:lncRNA from 1 species